GAUUGGGGAAACACCCCAAUCAAGAAAUCUGAACUAUUUAUAUAGUUUAAACAAAACAUUACAUUUUCAUUGUAAAAUUAAACCAUCUUUUGUAA
rnacentral:tRNA from 1 species